CCUACGGGAGGCAGCAGUGGGGAAUUUUGGACAAUGGGGGCAACCCUGAUCCAGCCAUUCCGCGUGAGUGAAGAAGGCCUUCGGGUUGUAAAGCUCUUUCGCAAGGGAAGAAAACUUAUGAUCGAAUAAAUCAUGAGGUUGACGGUACCUUGAUAAGAAGCACCGGCUAACUACGUGCCAGCAGCCGCGGUAAUACGUAGGGUGCGAGCGUUAAUCGGAAUUACUGGGCGUAAAGCGUGCGCAGGCGGUUUUGUAAGUCGGAUGUGAAAUCCCCGGGCUCAACCUGGGAACUGCGUUCGAAACUGCAAGGCUAGAGUGUGUCAGAGGGGGGUAGAAUUCCACGUGUAGCAGUGAAAUGCGUAGAGAUGUGGAGGAAUACCAAUGGCGAAGGCAGCCCCCUGGGAUAACACUGACGCUCAUGCACGAAAGCGUGGGGAGCAAACAGGAUUAGAUACCCUGGUAGUCCACGCCCUAAACGAUGUCAACUAGUUGUUGGUAGAGUAAAAUCUAUGAGUAACGUAGCUAACGCGUGAAGUUGACCGCCUGGGGAGUACGGUCGCAAGAUUAAAACUCAAAGGAAUUGACGGCUAGAGCGUGACGAGCACGACGGAGGGUUAG
rnacentral:rRNA from 1 species